AUUGAACGCUGGCGGCAGGCCUAACACAUGCAAGUCGAGCGGAUGCACGGUACUUGCUCCUUCUUACGGCGGCCGACGGGCGGGUAAUUCAUGGGUAUAUCCCUAGCUACUGUGGCUUACGUGCGGACGCAGGGGCUCAUACGCCAAUCCUGCUUAGGACGAACGGGGGGGAGCAUCGGACCUUCGGCUCUCGCGUGAUCCUAGGUCGGAUUAGCUAGUUGGUGGGGUAACGGCGUACCAAGGCGACGAUCCGUAGCUGGUCUGAGAGGAUGAUCAGCCACACUGGAACUGAGACACGGUCCAGACUCCUACGGGAGGCAGCAGUGGGGAAUAUUGGACAAUGGGCGAAAGCCUGAUCCAGCCAUGCCGCGUGGGUGAAGAAGGUCUUCGGAUUGUAAAGCACUUUUGGUGGGGAAGAAAAGCAGUAAGUUAAUACCCCGCUGUUUUGACGGUACCAACAGAAUAAGCACCGGCUAACUUCGUG
rnacentral:rRNA from 1 species